rnacentral:rRNA from 1 species
GAAAGUAAGCAAGGGCAGACGGUGGAUGCCUUGGCUCUCGGAGGCGACGAAGGACGUGAUAAGCUGCGAAAAGCCCGGGGGAGGCGCAAAUAGCCGUUGAUCCCGGGAUAUCCGAAUGGGGCAACCCGGCAGGCUGAAGGCCUGCCAUCCCGUAAGGGAGGCGAACGUGGGGAACUGAAACAUCUAAGUACCCAUAGGAGGAGAAAAUAAACAAUGAUUCCGUAAGUAGUGGCGAGCGAACACGGAAGAGCCCAAACCCAUGUCGUCUAGGCGACACGGGGGUUGUAGGACCACGACGUGGCAAGAUAGAGUCAAGUGGAACGCCUUGGAAAGGGCGACCGUAGAGGGUGAUAGUCCCGUACACGACUGACGAUUGAAGCCUAGUGGUAUCCUGAGUAGCGCGGGGCACGAGAAAUCUUGCGUGAAUUAGCGGGGCCCAUCCCGUAAGGCUAAAUACUCCCGAGAGACCGAUAGCGAACCAGUACCGUGAGGGAAAGGUGAAAAGAACCCCGAGCAGGGGAGUGAAAUAGACCCUGAACCCGUCUGCCUACAAGCGGUCGGAGCGUCGUAAUGACGUGACGGCGUGCCUUUUGCAUAAUGAACCUACGAGUUACCUUCCCCGGCAAGGUUAAGUUCUUGAGGAACGGAGCCGAAGCGAAAGCGAGUCUGAACAGGGCGCCAAGUCGGGGGGGGUAGACGCGAAACCGAGUGAUCUACCCUUGGCCAGGUUGAAGGUUGGGUAACACCAACUGGAGGACCGGAUGGGUAAGCGUUGAAAAGCUUUCCAAUGAGCUGAGGGUAGGGGUGAAAGGCUAAUCAAACUCGGAGAUAGCUCGUACUCCCCGAAAUGCAUUUAGGUGCAGCCUCUUUAUAGUAUAUCGUGAGGUAGAGCGACUGAUUGGAUGCGAGGGCUUCACCGCCUAUCAAGUCCAGAUAAACUCCGAAUGCGCGAUAUAUAUUUACAGGGAGUGAGGGCGCGGGUGCUAAGGUCCGUGUCCGAGAGGAGAAGAAUCCAGACCACCGGCUAAGGCCCCCAAAUGAUCGUUAAGUUGAACUAACGAGGUCGGAUCGCAGAGACAGCUAGGAUGUUGGCUUGGAAGCAGCCAUUCAUUUAAAGAGUGCGUAACAGCUCACUAGUCGAGCGAUCUGGCGUGGAUAAUAAUCGGGCAUAAACGAUCUGCCGAAGCCGUGGAUGUCGCAAGACAUGGUAGGGGAGCAUUCCAUGCCGCGUCGAAGAUGAGGGAUGACCCUUGUUGGAGCGCAUGGAAAAGCAAAUGUAGGUAUGAGUAACGAUAAGGGGGGCGAGAAACCCCCCCGCCGAAAGACCAAGGUUUCCUGAUCAACGCUAAUCGGAUCAGGGUGAGUCGGGACCUAAGGCAAAGCCGAACGGCGCCGCCGAUGGAAGAAUGGGUUAAUAUUCCCAUACUGCCUCAUGGAGUGACGUGGAGACGGAGAAGUGACAGUCCUGCCGGCUGACGGAAUAGCCGGUUGAAGGGUGUAGAUAUUGAUUCCCGUAGGCAAAUCCGCGGGGAGAGUCGAACCUGAGAGUAUACGGAGCGCUUGCGCAACGUAAUAUGGACGUAACCAUGCUCCCGAGAAAAUCCGCUAAACUUAUCCAUGCGGCACCCGUACCGUAAACGGACACACGUGGUCGGGUUGAGAAUACUGAGGCGCUCGAGUGAUUCACGGUUAAGGAACUAGGCAAAUUGACCCUGUAACUUCGGGAUAAAGGGUCCUCGUCGUAAGGCGAGGCGCAGAGAAUAGGUCCAGGCAACUGUUUAACAAAAACACAGGGCUGUGCAAACUCGAAAGAUGACGUAUACAGCCUGACACCUGCCCGGUGCCGGAAGGUUAAGAGGAGAUGUCACCAGCAAUGGGAAGCAUUGAAUUGAAGCCCCGGUAAACGGCGGCCGUAACUAUAACGGUCCUAAGGUAGCGAAAUUCCUUGUCGGGU